rnacentral:rRNA from 1 species
UACGUAGGUGGCAAGCGUUGUCCGGAUUUACUGGGCGUAAAGAGCGCGUAGGCGGAAGGUGAAGCGUGGCCUGAAAGCCCCCGGCUCAACCGGGGAGGGCGGCUGCGAACUGGCCUUCUUGAGGGCGAUAGAGGGGGGCGGAAUUCCUGGUGUAGCGGUGGAAUGCGCAGAUAUCAGGAGGAACACCGAUGGCGAAGGCAGAUCUCUGGGCCGUAACUGACGCUGAGGAGCGAAAGCAUGGGGAGCGAACAGG